GGCACCCCAUAGCUAAAAGCUAGGGGCUUGCAGUUGGGGAAGGUUCCUCCACAAAGCUUCUGACCGUCUUCUGCAAGCCUGGGCCUGACCAGACUCAGCCAGGGUUGUCUCUAAGAAGCUCAAGUGGAGCGGAGAACGACUAUCGGGCUACGUUACUGAAGAAAUAGGUACUAGUGCAUGGCAUCUAGAGGAACCUUCCUCAGUGCACUGCUCUACGGUUGCAGGUUAAACAGGCUUACGGGGUUACGCCAGUGCUUGCAACGUCAAACCUUCAGAUAACCUUGUCGAGAGGAGCGGUGG
rfam:Cyanobacteria bacterium 13_1_40CM_2_61_4 13_1_40cm_2_scaffold_295617, whole genome shotgun sequence.